UUGACAGUUUUAAGUUGGUACUUAAAAUCUGGACAGGACAGAAGAGAUUAACAUGGCUCCUGCUCUCAGAUGACACACAAAUUCGGGAUGCCUCCCAUAUUUAA
rnacentral:snRNA from 14 species